AAUGAACGCUGGCGGCGUGCCUAAUACAUGCAAGUCGAGCGAAGCGGGGACGGGUGAGUAACACGUGGAUAACCUCCUAUAAGACUGGGUUAAUUUCGGGAAACCGGAGCUAAACCCGUAAGUGAUAGAUGGGUCUUAGCUGGUUUAGCUAGUUGGUAAGGUAACGGCUUACCAAGGCAACGAUGCCUAGCCGGCCUGAGAGGAUGAUCGGCCACACUGGAACUGAGACACGGUCCAGACUCCUACGGGAGGCAGCAGUGGGGAAUCUUCCGCAAUGGGCGAAAGCCUGACGGAGCAACGCCGCGUGAGUGAUGAAGGUCUUCGGAUCGUAAAACUCUGUCAGUAGGGAAGCGGUACCUAAUCAGAAAGCCACGGCUAACUACGUGCCAGCAGCCGCGGUAAUUC
rnacentral:rRNA from 1 species